GCCCGCGGCAAUAGCAUUUUGAACACACCAGUUCCAAUGGAUCACCGAAGUUAAGCAACGUUGCUCGUUGUUGGUAUCCGGAUGGGUGUUCUUCUGGUCAAUCGUGUGCUGCUAGCU
rfam:Asian citrus Psyllid, Diaphorina citri - Florida Strain, whole genome shotgun sequence.